rnacentral:rRNA from 1 species
UCAGCAGCCGCGGUAAUACGUAGGCAGCAAGCGUUGUUCGGAAUUACUGGGCGUAAAGAGUGUGUAGGCGGUGCUCUAAGUUUGGUGUGAAAUCUCCCGGCUCAACCGGGAGGCUGCAUCGAAUACUGGAAUGCUAGAGGAUUGGAGAGGUAAGCGGAAUUCCUGGUGUAGCGGUGAAAUGCGUAGAUAUCAGGAGGAACACCUGUGGUGUAGACAGCUUACUGGACAAUUUCUGACGCUGAGACACGAAAGCGUGGGUAGCAAACAGGAUUAGAUACCCUGGUAGUCCACGCCCUAAACGAUGCAUACUUGGUGUGGGCCAUUCAUUUGGUCUGUGCCGGAGCUAACGCGUUAAGUAUGCCGCCUGGGGAGUACCGUCGCAAGGCUGAAACUCAAAGGA